GCCCAGGGGGUCUAAGGGCUGUUUUUACGCAAAAUCCCCCUCAUUCCUCUGCCCUCGUAUCUCUUUCCUCCCACCCACCUGAUUCAAUCAAAACGCCUCCGAUGCUAUGCGUGUCAAGUGUUUUCCUGUGACAGUAGAGCGAGAGAACCAGAAAUGUGACAGCUCAGUCGUGUUGCAGAAUUCAAGCAGAAAGACAGGCACCCAGAUCGGGCAGAAGCAGUGGGAGACACCGCUGUAGACCACCGGAACGGAGAACCUGUCGCCUUAGAUCAACUUACAAAGCGCGAAGAUUAAAGACAGAAGAGCGAGUCUGGUCGCACACACAUUGUCUCCUCCUUCUCCCAAGUCCUUUCAUUCAGUCCUCCUUCUCCCAAGUCCUUUCCUUCAGUCCUCCUUCUCCCAAGUCCUUUCCUUCAGUCCUCCUUCUCCCAAGUCCUUUCCUUCAGUCCUCCUUCUCCCAAGUCCUUUCCUUCAGUCCUCCUUCUCCCAAGUCCUUUCCUUCAGUCCUCCUUCUCCCAAGUCCUUUCCUUCAGUCCUCCUUCUCCCAAGUCCUUCAGUCCUCCUUCUCCCAAGUCCUUUCCUUCAGUCCUCCUUCUCCCAAGUCCUUUCCUUCAGUCCUCCUUCUCCCAAAUCCUUUCCUUCAGUCCUCCUUCUCCCAAGUCCUUUCCUUCAGUCCUCCUUCCGCCAAGUCCUUUAGUACUCCUUCUCCCAAGUCCUUUCCCUUUAAACAGCCACCAUUAUGGCUUCCAAACUGAAUCCGAAUGUCCUGUACGUCCAAGAACCACGGGAGUCUCUCUCAUCAUUGGAAACUGACCACCUGGCGCAACCCGAACCCGGUGAAGAGAGCUCCGAUAGUGACGGAGAGCCGGAUGAGACGGAGCAGAAACUAAUCCGGAAGGUGUCCACAUCGGGACAGCUACGAGCCAAGGUAGGAUAGACAAGAAUGCAAACACACACACGCACAGUGUACACACAUACAGUAGUCAGAUCUGUUGUGUUUUGCUUCAUUGUGCUGUGGCAUUAUAGGCCUAUUUGUCUCUUCAUAAUGAGAGCUUAAAGAGAUUCUCCGGUACUUUUGAAUACUUUUUAGCCAGUAGUUCUUGAAAGUAGCACUCACGAGCCAAAAGUGGUCCACGGAAAUUUCCCACUACGUCACAUAGAUUUAAAUACGGAUUUUAAAGCCUUUGAGACAAUUGAGACAUGAAUUGUGUAUGUGUGCCAUUCAGAGGUGAAUGGGCAAGACAAAAUAUUGAAGUGCCUUUGAACGGGGUAUGGUAGUAGGUGCCAGAUGCACCGGUUUGAGUCAAGAACUGCAACUCUGCUGGGUUUUUCAUGCUCAGCAGUUUCCCAUGUGUAUCAAGAAUGGUCCACCACCCAAAGGACAUCCAGCCAACUUGACACAACUGUGGGAAGCGUUGGAGUCAACAUGGACCAGCAUCCCUGUGGAAUGCGCUGAAUAUUAGGAAGAUGUUCCUAAUGUUUUGUAGACCCAGUGUAUGUGCAGAUAUGUACAUUGCUCUCUCUUUUACCCUGCUGUGUGUACAUCUUGCUAGCUGUCACUCAAAUGGCGAGGGGCGAAAGCUCAUUGGUUGAACUCGAAUUGCUAGGGGGCUGGCCCGCGAUGGGGGAAAUGUAGGAAAAUGGCACAGCUUCCAGAAAAACACUUUCAAACAAGGGAUUUUGUGGCUAAUUGAUGUAAGACAGUAAUUCUGCUCAUAGAUUAUGCAUGUAUGAACUACACAUUGACAUGUACAGCCCAAAGCGGGAGGUUUUAAAAAUACUCAUUAGUUGUCUAAGUUCAGGAGCAUGUCUUUAACUGGGGAAUUGAUCCUGGUUAGGAUAGUAGGCCUACUGUAGGUGUACUGAUCUGUAAACACUCUCACACUCUCUCUCUCUCACUCUCUCACACUCUCACACACUCUCACACACUCUCUCACUCUCUCUCUCUCGCUCUCUCGCUCUCUCUCGCUCACUCUCUCUCACUCUCUCUCACUCUCUCUCACUCUCUCACACACUCACGUCUCACUAGUAAAUUAUUAAUAAUGAAUUGUUGAAUAAGACAAACCUUUGUUUGAGGUUGGUCAAACAUUGACAGCGAUUUCUGGGUUGAAUUGUAACUGUUAUUGAUUGGUAGUCAUAGAUCAUGGUUCCCCAACUGGUGGACCGCGGGCCAAAUUCGGCCCGCAGGUGGUUUUAUUUGGCCCGCCAAGUUUUCUUUAGCAAAAAACUAUAGAUUUAUUUAUUUUAAAGACUGUAAAAAUAGGAAAUCAGCUCCAAGUGAUUUUAAUUUUGGAAAUCUAUCCCCAAGUAUUACCAUAAUAAUAAAGAGCAGUUAUUGUAUACAAACUUAAGUUGUGAAAUUAUUGUGUAGUCUAUUAUAUCUGUUUGGGCUUCUUGCUGUGACUUUGAUGUCUACAAAUGAUUUAGAAUUAUGUUCCGGCCCCCUGACCAUCUGCUCAAGAAAACAUUGGCCUGUGGCUGAAUCUAGUUAAUGAUCCCUGUCGUAGACCAUCAUGGAUCAAUAUGGAGCCAUACCUGUCACCUAUAUGUUGUUGUCAUGGUGAUGUUUGUUCCCAAGACUUCUGAUUCAAUCAGUGACUCAUUGUUGGUCAAAUCCCAAAUGAUACCCUAUUGACCUGUGACCCUUUACCUUUGACCAGAGCUAUAGGGUGUAUUUGAGAUGGUUCUUCUGAUACUGAUGUGUUGAUGAUGCUGUCUUGGUCCAGGUACUCUUAAAAAUAUGUCUAAUAUUUUUUUUUUAUCUCAACUAACGUGGAUAAAUAAAGGUUAAAUAAAAUAUACUGUAUGAGAAGGAGAUCAUCUCCAGCGGGACAACAUCUAUUGAUCGCUGGUUGUAUUGAUGAUUGGUUAGGUGAUCGUUGGUUAAUUGUUCCAUGUCUGGUUUCUUUCACAUGUCUCUGGCUGUGGUAAUUUUAGAUAAUCAAUAGUGUGGUUUUGAGGUAAUCAAUAUUGACAUGGACCAGAAACCUUACAAUGUGUUUCUCCUCAUUUUCCCCACACACACAGUAACUAUUAUCAAUGCCUAGAUUGUAGGUUCGGGGACGAUACCAGUAUCACGAUACUCGUUAGUAUCAUGGCAAGGAAACACCAAGCAGAUUUAACUUCUUUAGGAAAACAGCUGUAAUGUUGGAAACAAACAUCAUUAUGUUGUCACCCAGAGUCGCAUGUAUUUUCCAAGUUAUAGAGCACGGCAGGUAGCCUAGUGGUUAGAGUGUAGAGGCGGCAGGUAGCCUAGUGGUUAGAGUGUAGGGGCGGCAGUUAGCCUAGUGGUUAGAGUGUAGAGGCGGCAGGUAGCCUAGUGGUUAGAGUGUAGAGGCGGCAGGUAGCCUAGUGGUUAGAGUGUAGAGCACGGCAGGUAGCCUAGUGGUUAGAGUGUAGAGGCGGCAGGUAGCCUAGUGGUUAGAGUGUAGAGGCGGCAGGUAGCCUAGUGGUUAGAGUGUAGAGGCGGCAGGUAGCCUAGUGGUUAGAGUGUAGAGGCGGCAGGUAGCCUAGUGGUUAGAGUGUAGAGGCGGCAGGUAGCCUAGUGGUUAGAGUGUAGAGGCGGCAGGUAGCCUAGUGGUUAGAGUGUAGAGGCGGCAGGUAGCCUAGUGGUUAGAGUGUAGAGGCGGCAGGUAGCCUAGUGGUUAGAGUGUAGAGGCGGCAGGUAGCCUAGUGGUUAGAGUGUAGAGGCGGCAGGUAGCCUAGUGGUUAGAGUGUAGAGCACGGCAGGUAGCCUAGUGGUUAGAGUGUAGAGCACGGCAGGUAGCCUAGUGGUUAGAGUGUAGAGGCGGCAGGUAGCCUAGUGGUUAGAGUGUAGAGGCGGCAGGUAGCCUAGUGGUUAGAGUGUAGAGGCGGCAGGUAGCCUAGUGGUUAGAGAGUAGAGGCGGCAGGUAGCCUAGUGGUUAGAGCGUAGAGGCGGCAGGUAGCCUAGUGGUUAGAGCGUAGAGGCGGCAGGUAGCCUAGUGGUUAGAGCGUAGAGGCGGCAGGUAGCCUAGUGGUUAGAGCGUAGGGGCGGCAGGUAGCCUAGUGGUUAGAGCGUAGAGGCGGCAGGUAGCCUAGUGGUUAGAGCGUAGAGGCGGCAGGUAGCCUAGUGGUUAGAGUGUAGAGGCGGCAGGUAGCCUAGUGGUUAGAGUGUAGAGCACGGCAGGUAGCCUAGUGGUUAGAGUGUAGAGCACGGCAGGUAGCCUAGUGGUUAGAGUGUAGAGGCGGCAGGUAGCCUAGUGGUUAGAGUGUAGAGGCGGCAGGUAGCCUAGUGGUUAGAGUGUAGAGGCGGCAGGUAGACUAGUGGUUAGAGUGUAGAGGCGGCAGGUAGCCUAGUGGUUAGAGUGUAGAGCACGGCAGGUAGACUAGUGGUUAGAGUGUAGAGGCGGCAGGUAGACUAGUGGUUAGAGUGUAGGGGUGGCAGGUAGCCUAGUGGUUAGAGUGUAGAGGCGGCAGGUAGCCUAGUGGUUAGAGUGUAGGGGCGGCAGGUAGCCUAGUGGUUAGACUGUAGAGCACGGAAGGUAGCCUAGUGGUUAGAGUGUAGGGGCGGCAGGUAGCCUAGUGGUUAGAGUGUAGGGGCGGCAGGUAGCCUAGUGGUUAGACUGUAGAGCACGGCAGGUAGCCUAAUGGUUAGAGUGUAGGGGCGGCAGGUAGCCUAGUGGUUAGAGUGUAGGGGCGGCAGGUAGCCUAGUGGUUAGAGUGUAGAGGCGGCAGGUAGCCUAGUGGUUAGAGUGUAGAGGCGGCAGGUAGCCUAGUGGUUAGAGUGUAGGGGCGGCAGGUAGCCUAGUGGUUAGACUGUAGAGCACGGCAGGUAGCCUAGUGGUUAGAGUGUAGGGGCGGCAGAUAGCCUAGUGGUUAGAGUGUAGAGGCGGCAGGUAGCCUAGUGGUUAGAGUGUAGAGGCGGCAGGUAGCCUAGUGGUUAGAGUAUAGAGGCGGCAGGUAGCCUAGUGGUUAGAGUGUAGAGGCGGCAGGUAGCCUAGUGGUUAGAGUGUAGGGGCGGCAGGUAGCCUAGUGGUUAGAGUGUAGAGGCGGCAGGUAGCCUAGUGGUUAGAGUGUAGAGGCGGCAGGUAGCCUAGUGGUUAGAGUGUAGGGGCGGCAGGUUAGAGUGUAGGGGCGACAGGUAGCCUAGUGGUUCGAGCGUAGGGGCGGCAGGUAGCCUAGUGGUUAGAGCGUAGAGGCGGCAGGUAGCCUAGUGGUUAGAGUGUAGAGGCGGCAGGUAGCCUAGUGGUUAGAGUGUAGGGGCGGCAGGUAGCCUAGUGGUUAGUGUGUAGGGGCGGCAGGUAGCCUAGUGGUUAGAGUGUAGAGGCGGCAGGUAGCCUAGUGGUUAGAGUGUAGAGGCGGCAGGUAGCCUAGUGGUUAGAGUGUAGAGCACGGCAGGUAGCCUAGUGGUUAGAGUGUAGAGGCGGCAGGUAGCCUAGUGGUUAGAGUGUAGGGGCGGCAGGUAGCCUAGUGGUUAGAGUGUAGAGGCGGCAGGUAGCCUAGUGGUUAGAGUGUAGAGGCGGCAGGUAGCCUAGUGGUUAGAGUGUAGGGGCGGCAGGUAGCCUAGUGGUUAGAGUGUAGGGGCGGCAGGUAGCCUAGUGGUUAGAGUGUAGGGGCGGCAGGUAGCCUAGUGGUUAGAGUGUAGGGGCGGCAGGUAGCCUAGUGGUUAGAGUGUAAGGGCGGCAGGUAGCCUAGUGGUUAGAGUGUAGAGGCGGCAGGUAGCCUAGUGGUUAGAGUGUAGAGGCGGCAGGUAGCCUAGUGGUUAGAGUGUAGGGGCGACAGGUAGCCUAGUGGUUAGUGUAGGGGCGGCAGGUAGCCUAGUGGUUAGUGUAGGGGCGGCAGGUAGCCUAGUGGUUAGAGUGUAGAGGCGGCAGGUAGCCUAGUGGUUAGAGUGUAGGGGCGGCAGGUAGCCUAGUGGUUAGAGUGUAGAGGCGGCAGGUAGCCUAGUGGUUAGAGUGUA